GUUGCCACAUGUGCUGUUUUCAGGGGAGAGGCACUGCAGACUCUCUGUCUGUUGGAGAGAAAGAUCCUGGGAUCUCAGGGGCACAGAGAGUAGUCAUAGUCUCUGGACCAUGAACCUAGCUUAGAGCUCAAGCUCUUUUUAAGACCUUGUCAGAGGGGCAGGGCAGGAGCAGGAGGGAGACUGAAGGGUCUUUGGGAGCCUCUGGUCAACCUAACAUGAUGUAAGGGGAGCUUAAUGACAGCUCACACUGGGGCUUUCUCCCAUCAGGUGCCUUCACCAGUACCAGGCACAGAAUCAGGUGGUUUGUGGCAAUGCAAAGUAUGUGGUUUCUUUAGCAUUUAUUCUGGUGUAAACCUCAACUGCAUAUGGCUGGACUUGAGCAGGGCUGUGAUGACCUCCUCUUCAUCACCCUUCUUUGUACUUCCUUUAUCUCUGGCCUACAUCCCUCUCCAGCUCAGGGUUGGGCUCAGCAUUUUACACCACUCUCCCAGGGAGGCCUCAUGUCAAUACCUUUGACCAGAGUCAGUCAUGGGUUCUGAAAUAAAAAGGGCAUGAUGUGAAUCCAUGGACAUAUUUUUAAAUAAUGAGCCGAAUGUGAGAGAAUUUCAGAACUUAAAAUAGAUGCCACAUUCCAAAAACUAUGGGUGAUUAUAAGAAUCUGUAAGCCAAUACUUGCUCAAAUGGAGAAAAAUACUAUUACUCUUAGGGCCGUGGCUCUGAAUGAGAAGGUGAAGGGGGGUGGUAAAGGUCAAGUAUUGUUCAGCACACAACCGUGCACACUGCUGGGGUUCGUCCUUACCUAGACAGCUAGAUGGAAUCUCUUCUCUUUCUCAGAGAGAAUCUCAAAUGUCACAGACCCUGCCAGGCCCUCAAGGUUGUCCUUGCCCACUGCAAGCCUCAUGAAAUUGUGGUGUGUCCUGCACUCUCCAGGGGCCCAGUGACUCAAGGGUUAGUGAAGCUCCUGUCCAAAUGUGCUUCUCUCACAUCACACAAUCCUAUCCACCCAUUGGGGCAGGGGAGAGUUCCCACCAGGUGACCCUUUCCACAAGAGAGACCUGGGGUUGAGUCCAGAGAGAAUGUGUACUCAGGAGGGACCAUGGGGAAUAAUAUGGAAAGGAGGUUUUACCAGGAGGCAAAGCUGAGAUGGAAAGAUGAGCAGACAUACAGGAGUCCAAAGCCAUGUCCCAGAUACACACAGAGAUGGUCAGUGCACAAUCACAGGAGAGGAGGCCCCACAAAAACUUGGUAUCUGGCCACUUUUGACCACCCUGACCUUAGCUAAUGCCCACAGGAGAAACCCAGCCUGCAGUUGAGGACUCAGCCAUGACAAUCAACCUCACAGCUCAAGUCAACUCCCAAAGCGCAGUCAAGUCCUCUUCCCUAGGGCAGCCCCUUUGCUAGGGCCACACCAGAGUGCUGGGGACACUCAAGAUGUUAGAGAGGAAACAAAACAAAAUCUAUGAACUUCAGCUCACCUAAAAGUCCUAACCUGUCUCAGGAGUUAUAGGUCUC
rnacentral:lncRNA from 1 species